rnacentral:rRNA from 1 species
AGUGAACGCUGGCGGUAGGCCUAACACAUGCAAGUCGAACGGCAGCACAGUAAGAGCUUGCUCUUACGGGUGGCGAGUGGCGGACGGGUGAGGAAUACAUCGGAAUCUACUUUUUCGUGGGGGAUAACGUAGGGAAACUUACGCUAAUACCGCAUACGACCUACGGGUGAAAGCAGGGGAUCUUCGGACCUUGCGCGAUUGAAUGAGCCGAUGUCGGAUUAGCUAGUUGGCUGGGUAAAGGCCCACCAAGGCGACGAUCCGUAGCUGGUCUGAGAGGAUGAUCAGCCACACUGGAACUGAGACACGGUCCAGACUCCUACGGGAGGCAGCAGUGGGGAAUAUUGGACAAUGGGCGCAAGCCUGACCCAGCCAUACCGCGUGGGUGAAGAAGGCCUUCGGGUUGUAAAGCCCUUUUGUUGGGAAAGAAAAGCAGCAGGUUAAUACCCCGCUGUUCUGACGGUACCCAAAGAAUAAGCACCGGCUAACUUCGUG